UCUCACACAAUGCUCUAGCACUUGUAGCCUAAUGAGAAAUUCCUUCUUAUCCUCCAGGACUAUUGACUGGGUUGGUUGUCCUCAGCAGGAGGGGACUUGUGUGCAAGUGCAGAGAUGUGCAGGAGAGCAUUUGACCUGCCUCAGUAGAUAUUUACUUGCUAGAUCUGUGGGUCUUCCUUAUAAGAAGAAAUGAAAAUGCCUGAUUUUAUUACAUUUGCAAUGAAGUAAAUGAUGAGAACACGAGUAAUUCUG
rnacentral:lncRNA from 1 species